rnacentral:rRNA from 1 species
AUGAAACUGUCAGGCCUUGUGAGCAGCAAUAUCUCUGAUGGUGGCACGGGUGAUGAAGAUGACCAAGGUCAAGGUGAGCAGCCCUGCAGAGUUGUCCCUUGUGCCCAGCCCCAGCGGAGAGUCGAAAUGUUCCAAGAGAGCAGCGGAUUUGUCCUUGUGACUAGAUACAGGAAUGUUCUUCUUCUUAUCAAGGAAAGUUAUGUGAAAAUAUGUGGUGUUAGCAUCAUCGGCUUUGAUCCAGACCUGCAAAUUAAGAGCCUGUGCCGUUGUGGCGAGCUUGAUGUGCAGGCGUGCAGGGUAACUGAGGCUUGA